rnacentral:lncRNA from 1 species
CUCAGCCUAUUUAUGAUAUGAUAAUAAAUCCCAUAUGAACGUCGUCCUACAAAGACAUAUGUACAAAAUAGACAUAAAAACAAAGUUAGAUAAUAUGUACUCCCUCUCCAUUCACUUUUACCUAUCACACUUCAUAUCAAUACUUUUAAAAAUAUAUUUUUUAAUUAUAUUAAUAUGAAUAUAAUGGCAGAAUGUAGUAGUAUUUUCGUGUAAUUCUCGAAAAUCUAAAUUUAAAAUUCAGAAUAUUAAAAUAAUCUAAGUAAGCUCAAACAAUCUGGAGAAAGAGAACUCCCCAUGUCUGGGAACUCACAAUCGAUAGAGGGGCUAGCCACAGAAAGUCCAGAAGUCGCUUGAUUCUCUUCCAUAAUCUCAUCGAUUUUUUACUUCGCAAUAACUCGAAAUUUAAUCCCAUAGAGAUGAUAAAUCUUUGACCUGUAAAUUCAAUGAAUGAAUAUUGCGUCAAUAGAGUAAGUUGAAUUAUAAUGAUUCAUCCAUCGUUAAUUAACAAUUUCUCAUUCAAA